UUGUCUAGUAAGGAAUCUGAAGAUGGCGUCGAGUGGAGGAGAUGGGGAAUCGAAAUGGACUGCUGUUAUCAGCUUCGUACACAGCUUUUGAAACGAAAGAGCUACCUCCGCUUAUAGGAUCCAUAAUAACCAGUGAAUCUGAGAUCCUACAGUACGAGCCGUUCUACUCGUCGUUCGUGGCGCUCUCUGCUCAUUACAUCACCACAGUCUGUGGACAAAAUGCUGAUAGGGACAGACUCCAUCACCAACCUUCACAAGCUGGAGCAGGUYUCUAGUGACGAGGGUAUUGGGACGCUGGCAGAGAACCUUCUGGAGGCGCUGAGGUCAACCUGAAGAUAGARGCCCGCUCGCAGGGAGACACGGGCUGAGAAGAAACGCAUGGCAAAGGCCAUGAGACAGAAAGCUCUGGGGACACUGGGCAUGACGACCAAUGAGAAGGGCCAGGUGGUYACCAAGACAUCGUUGUUGAAGCAGAUGGAGGAGCCAGGACUGACCUGCUGUGUCUGUAGAGAGGGAUACAGGUUCCAGGCUUGCUCGGCGGCGGGAGGAGUGGGAGAGUGCUGCGUUGCAGAAUGCCAACACCAAGUGCAAUGGACUGCUUCCUGUCUGGGGGCCUCAUGUCCCAGAAUCAGCCUUCGCCACAUGCCUGGCCAGCCGUGUGAGAAGUGGGUGGAGAGCAGCCGUGAUGUUGACGGUCCCCACUACUACACAGUGUUGGCCAUGUAACAUCCUGUCUCCUGAACGCUGGAGGAACACAUGACUCGCCUUCCUACGCAGGCUCCUCGUCACCGUACACAAGGUCUCCGCUGUCUUCGCCAACAAACUCCCAGAUAAACAGUCCAAGGAGUAUGCAGUGUACCGCUCUCCUCUCCUCUUCUGGGGCCUUGUGGAACUCAUCUAUGACAUGUUCAAGAAAGUGUCCACCAGCAACACAGAGGGAGGCUGGUCCUUCUCGCUGGCAGAGUACGUGCGCCACAAUGACACGCCCAUGUACAAGGCCUUGGAGCGCGUACUCGAGGCCUACCAGGAAGAGCUGAUGCCUGCUCGUCGUAGGUCAGRGUCGCCAGACUGAUGUACAGCUCAAUGUGUGAGAUUCACACWGACUAACUCUGUUUAAUCUGUUUCCAGGACUUCUCUCUGACAUUCCAGACCUCUUCCUGCAAGACCUGUUGAACUCUGUGCCCUGAUGCCAGACCUCCCUGGACCCUGUCCCACACGUUGGUCCUGCUAAUAGCACCUCCACAUGGACAACKAGGGUGUUGUCCCUCUGCAUCAUGUUCAAUUAGAACUCUUUAAAAGCAGAUCUUACACGUGUGGUCUGAGUGAGGAGUCUGUUUUAGGACCAUGUUGCUGGGAAACAUUCAAUACACCCCCACAUACAUGUCUGGUAGCUUU